rnacentral:rRNA from 1 species
AGAGUUUGAUCCUGGCUCAGAUUGAACGCUGGCGGCGUGCCUAACACAUGCAAGUCGAGCGGUAACAGGUGUAGCAAUACAUGCUGACGAGCGGCGAACGGGUGAGUAAUGCUUUGGAAUCUUCCCAGUAGUGGGGAAUAACCAGUCGAAAGAUUGGCUAAUACCGCAUACGUCUGUAAAGGGAAAGCGGGGGCUCGUAAGACCUCGCGCUAUUGGAUGAGCCAAAGUCGGAUUAGCUAGUUGGUGGGGUAAUGGCCUACCAAGGCGACAAUCCGUAGCUGGUCUGAGAGGACGACCAGCCACACCGGAACUGAGACACGGUCCGGACUCCUACGGGAGGCAGCAGUGGGGAAUAUUCGGACAAUGGGGGAAACCCUGAUCCAGCGACGCCGCGUGUGUGAAGAACGCCUGCGGGUUGUAAAGCACUUUUAGUGGGGA